UACAGAGGGGGCAAGCGUUGUUCGGAAUUACUGAGCGUAAAGGGCGCGUAGGCGGCCUUCUAAGUCAGACGUGAAAUCCCUCGGCUCAACCGGGGAACUGCGUCUGAUACUGGGUGGCUUGAAUUCGGGAGAGGGAUGCGGAAUUCCAGGUGUAGCGGUGAAAUGCGUAGAUAUCUGGAGGAACACCGGUGGCGAAGGCGGCAUCCUGGACCGAGAUUGACGCUGAGGCGCGAAAGCGUGGGGAGCAAACGGGG
rnacentral:rRNA from 1 species